UGACCUGUGGCUGGGGGUGAAAGGCCAAUCAAACCGGGAGAUAGCUGGUUCUCCCCGAAAGCUAUUUAGGUAGCGCCUCGUGAAUUCAUCUCCGGGGGUAGAGCACUGUUUCGGCUAGGGGGCCAUCCCGGCUUACCAACCCGAUGCAAACUGCGAAUACCGGAGAAUGUUAUCACGGGAGACACACGGCGGGUGCUAACGUCCGUCGUGAAGAGGGAAACAACCCAGACCGCCAGCUAAGGUCCCAAAGUCAUGGUUAAGUGGGAAACGAUGUGGGAAGGCCCAGACAGCCAGGAUGUUGGCUUAGAAGCAGCCAUCAUUUAAAGAAAGCGUAAUAGCUCACUGGUCGAGUCGGCCUGCGCGGAAGAUGUAACGGGGCUAAACCAUGCACCGAAGCUGCGGCAGCGAACGUAUCACCCAAGACAACUUUACGGAGUUGACGAUUGACGGAGCGAAGCGACGUCAAAGCGUUCAUUAAAGUCGAGUUGGCUUAGGGAUACGUUCGUUGGGUAGGGGAGCGUUCUGUAAGCCUGUGAAGGUGUGUCGUGAGGC
rnacentral:rRNA from 1 species